UACGAAGGGGGCUAGCGUUGCUCGGAAUCACUGGGCGUAAAGGGUGCGUAGGUGGCCAGGUAAGUUCGGUGUGAAAGCUCGGAGCUUAACUCCGAAAUGGCAUUGAAUACUAUCUGGCUAGAGGGUCGGAGGGGAGACUGGAAUUCUCGGUGUAGCAGUGAAAUGCGUAGGUAUCGAGAGGAACACCAGUGGCGAAGGCGAGUCUCUGGACGACUCCUGACACUGAGGCACGAAAGCCAGGGGAGCAAACAGG
rnacentral:rRNA from 1 species